AUGAACGCUGGCGGCGUGCCUAAUCCAUGCAAGUCGAGCGAACGGACGAGAAGCUUGCUUCUCUGAUGUUAGCGGCGGACGGGUGAGUAACACGUGGAUAACCUACCUAUAAGACUGGGAUAACUUCGGGAAACCGUAGCUAAUACCGGAUAAUAUUUUGAACCGCAUGGUUCAAAAGUGAAAGACGGUCUUGCUGUCACUUAUAGAUGGAUCCGCGCUGCAUUAGCUAGUUGGUAAGGUAACGGCUUACCAAGGCAACGAUGCAUAGCCGACCUGAGAGGGUGAUCGGCCACACUGGAACUGAGACACGGUCCAGACUCCUACGGGAGGCAGCAGUAGGGAAUCUUCCGCAAUGGGCGAAAGCCUGACGGAGCAACGCCGCGUGAGUGAUGAAGGUCUUCGGAUCGUAAAACUCUGUUAUUAGGGAAGAACAUAUGUGUAAGUAACUGUACACAUCUUGACGGUACCUAAUCAGAAAGCCACGGCUAACUACGUG
rnacentral:rRNA from 1 species